rnacentral:lncRNA from 1 species
CUCCCCUGCUGAUGGGCGCUCAUGUGGCCUACUCUCUGGCUAUUGGGAGUCGUGCUGCUGUGGACAUUGGUGUGCAGGUGCUGGUGUGGACGUUGGUGUGCAGGUGCUGGUGUGGACAUUGGUGUGCAGGUGUUGGUGUGGGUGCUGGUGUGGACGUUGGUGUGCAGGUGUUGGUGUGGGUGCUGGUGUGGACGUUGGUGUGCAGGUGUUGGUGUGGGUGCUGGUGUGGACGUUGGUGUGCAGGUGUUGGUGUGGGUGUUGGUGUGGACGUUGGUGUGCAGGUGUUGGUGUGGGUGUUGGUGUGGACGUUGGUGUGUAGGUGUUGGUGUGCAGGUGUUGGUGUGGACAUUGGUGUGCAGGUGUUGGUGUGGAUAUUGGUGUGCAGGUGUUGGUGUGGAUAUUGGUGUGCAGGUGUUGGUGUGGACAUUGGUGUGCAGGUGCUGGUGUGGACGUUGGUGUGCAGGUGUUGGUGUGGACGUUGGUGUGCAGGUGUUGGCGUGGAUGUUGGUGUGCAGGUGUUGGCGUGGACAUUGGUGUGCAGGUGCUGGUGUAGACAUUGGUGUGCAGGUGCUGGUGUGGACGUUGGUGUGUAGGUGUUGGUGUGCAGGUGUUGGUGUGGACAUUGGUGUGCAGGUGUUGGUGUGGAUAUUGGUGUGCAGGUGCUGGUGUGGACGUUGGUGUGCAGGUGUUGGUGUGCAGGUGUUGGUGUGCAGGUGUUGGUGUGGACGUUGGUGUGCAGGUGUUGGUGUGCAGGUGUUGGUGUGGAUGUUGGUGUGGGUGUUGGUGUGCAGGUGUUGGUGUGCA